UACGGAGGGUGCAAGCGUUAUCCGGAAUUAUUGGGCGUAAAGAGCUCGUAGGCAGUUUGUCGCGUCUGCCGUGAAAGUCCGGGGCUCAACUCCGGAUCUGCGGUGGGUACGGGCAGACUAGAGUGAUGUAGGGGAGACUGGAAUUCCUGGUGUAGCGGUGAAAUGCGCAGAUAUCAGGAGGAACACCGAUGGCGAAGGCAGGUCUCUGGGCUGUAACUGACGCUGAGGAGCGAAAGCAUGGGGAGCGAACAGG
rnacentral:rRNA from 1 species